CACCGUCCGGCCACCUCCGGCCAUCGCCAAGCCUCGCCGGACCUCCCCCGCGACCCCCUCGCCUUCCGCCGGCCUUCCCUCGCCAUUUUGGCCGCCGGAUCUGCUCCGACCAGCCAAAGGCAGAAACCCACGAAAUGGGUUUCCAGCGGCUUUAGGCCCGCUUUUGGGCCGUUUCCGGGCCCCGGAUCCGUGAAUCGCUUUGGGAAGUUUCGUUCCUCGCGUCGCCGCCGUCGGAUUGAUCCGAUUUGUGCGCGAUUUGGUGAGUAAUCUCACUAAUCUUGGAUUAGUUGGCUAAUUAUGCUUAAGGUUGGUUUAGAUUUAAUUAAUUAUGUUUAGGUUGUUAGAUUAGAAUAAAUUAGCAAUUAUUAGUGAAUUGUGAUGCGAUUUAGAUAAAUUGAUUGUGCAAUUAGCAAGUAGACGUGGUCUACUAAUUAUUGGAAGUGCCUCGGGAUUUUUCCCGACCCUUAGUGGGCUCCAAUUAGGCUUUUCGGGCCUAAGUGGAUUUUUUAGUAUUUAAAUAUUAAUUUUCGGAAUUACAUUAAAUAAUUAUUUAUUUUCCGAAAAUUCAACUGAGAUGGCCCGGGAUCGGAAUAGUAUGCUGAUGACUGUGGUGAAGUCCGUUUAUUUAAUCGGGCUUUAUUUUGAGCUAAAUUGAAUUUUUAAUAUUAAUUUUUAAUUUUCGAAAUUUAUAAAUUAAUUAAUUAUUUUUCGGAAAUUAAGAUUUUGAUGGCCGACGACUGAAAUCUCGUGCUGAUCGUCGUGGCGCAGUCCGUUUAUUUAUUUGAGCUCUACGUUGUAUGGAAUUGAAUAAAUUGUGACAUUUUAGGGAUUUACCCUAAAUUGAUUGGAAUCGAUUGAGAUUGAAUUAUCGAUUGGUGAAUGGCCAAGUAUGUUUAUUCAGCAUUUAUAAUGCUUUGUUGAGUUAAUUUAAUUAUUUGAUUGAGUAUUGAUUGGUGAAUGGCCAAGUAUGUUUAUUCAGCAUUUAUAGUGCUUUGUUGAGUUGUAAAGGGAGUAGAAUGAUGAGAGUGAAUCAGAAGUACUCUGGGAUUGAACCAAUCAGACACGGUGUAUGGACCUACGUGGUUCGGUGAUUGGGACAUCACUGGCGAAAACGGCGCCUUAAAGAACGCACGUAUCGGUCUAGUACAUACAUUAUUAUGGACCUACGUGGUUCGGUGAUUGGGAUAUCACUGGCGAAAACGGCGCCUUAAAGAACGCACGUAUCGGUCUAGUACUCACAUUGUUAUAGGCAUGUAUGGUUCGGUGACUGAGGGUGUCACUGGCGAAAACGGCGCCUUAAAGAACGCAUACACUUGUCUAUUAAACACAUUGUUAUAGGCAUGUGUGGUUCGGUGAUUAUGGAACUCACUGGCGAAAACGGCGCCUUAAAGAACGCACACAAUUGUCUAGUGAGUACAUGGUUAUAGGCAUGCGUGGUUCGGUGAUAAGGACAUCACUGGCGAAAACGGCGCCUUAAAGAACGCACGCAAUUGUCUAUUGAUAAAAUCAUUGUAGGCAUGUGUGGUUCGGUGAUUUGGGAUAUCACUGGCGAAAAUGGCGCCUUAAAGAACGCACACAGUUGUCUAGUGGAUACGUCACCUUGGCGAAGUUGACGCCCGAGAGCAUUGAUGUGGCUCUGUGACCGAGUACUCGAUGAAAGAAUAUAUGGUGUGGAAUUAAUGACCUAGAAUGGUCCGUCUGGCAUGUAAUCGACUAAGUCGAUUGAUCCUUGCUUUGAUUUGAUGUUGUGAAUUGAUUGACUGAAUGGAAAUGACCGUGAGUGGUCUUGUUGGAAUAUAAUCGACUAGGUCGAUUUGAUCGAUGCUUCGAUCGGUGAUAUGAUUGCUUGGGUGCCUAUUAUGAAUUGUACUGACUUGCAGGUGAGAUCUGAGGCCAAGGUAAGUUCUCUGCCCUGUGCGUGUUUAGGCAGCAUGUAGUAUAAUAGUUUACUAAUCGGGCUUAGUGGGGUAGAACUCGCUGAGACGUAGUCUCAUCCCAGUUUGGGGAAAACCAUUUCAGGACCCCGCUGAAGAGCUAAGAAGGAGGAUCCGAGAAGGAGGACUCGGAGGCGAAUCUUAAGGAGAAAGAUUUUUGGAGGAAGAAGGCAAUCCUGAGAGGGGCCUUGAGUAUGGCCCAGUUCGUCUAAGUCUCUGUCUUCUUUUGAGACCUCCAUUUUGAUGUGAAUAGUUUUGAAGUGGUUUGUGUUUGGUAUAAAAGUUGGUUAUAAAUUUCAAUAUGAAAAAUAUGGCCCUGCUUUUCUAUCCCAUCGUUUUAUUGUCUGGGGAUUUUAACUGCUUCCGCAUGUGCUUAAUAAAAGAAAG
rnacentral:lncRNA from 1 species